UCACGAAACGAAUUUACUUAUCUCGAAUUGAAUUAUUACAUGAUCAAGAAGUUGUCGAGUGAAAACGGAUGUUGGACUGGACCAAUAAAACAAUCGUACGACGAUGAAUCAGCUAAAUAAUGACAUUAACUUAUUAUCUUUAUUAUUAUUAUCAUCUUUCGAUCGAUGCUUAUUAACCGUCUUCAUUGUAAAUGCAGUUAAAUUAUAGUAAGCUUCGAACAUCUCGUUAUACGCGUUCUCACGGUGGUCGUAUGGCCACGCAUUUAGGAUUAUGAAAUAGAACGUUGCUUUCCUAAGAAUCUGAUCGUAGAAUCGCGGACAACUUUCAGCCGAUAUGUAAACAACCCUUGCACGCUUCUAAAUGUCAAAAUAUUUGUACGAGUCGCUUCCUCGUUACGUAAUGGGCAGAAUAAUUACGAGCAAAUGUUUUGUCCGGCCGCUAGGCAAUUUUGAAAUUAAAGAUUCAAUAAACAUCGCGAUAUCGUUCAUACGUGAUAAUAUAAUGUAAAUAGUAUACUGUAAAUUUGUAUAAAAUAUAUUUUUGUGUCUAGUAACAAAUAAACAUAUAUAUCAAGCGCCCUAAAGAGUACGAGAAAAAUCGUAGAAAUAUUUUAACAGUGUCUCUGAAAAGAUUUAUUUAAAUGUUAUAAUUUCGAUCGUCGUGUUCGUCAAACCGAGCAACAGAUCCGUGCUUCGCGUACGCGCAAUUAUCAUCUGAUUUCGAUGGCGAUCAAAUAUUUCUCGACCAUUGAUUCCAAGGAUCGAUCUCACAAUUGUUAGUUUGUCGCGUUAGCUCACGUGACGCGUUGGUAUUUCACGUGGGCGCAAUGUUCUGCCGUUGUAACGACGCGUUAUCCUCGAGAUAGUUUCACUGCGUUAAGCCCGACUUACACUUGCGCUGUCAAUCUUCUUAUUCACACGGACGUCGUUCAACGCAAUUGAUCGACAAUAGGCAGGCAACUACAAUAUUCGCGCAAAGAUAUCUCGGAACGAGUGUAAACAAUUUUACGCAAUCGUUUAGCGACCCUUACGAUUUACCGUGGCGACUCACACGAGUCACACUAAUAACUUUUAUUUUAAUCUCAAUAUUCCUGAUAAACAGGAAGGUUUACGCUCACAAGGAACUGAUAUUCGUUUCACGAAUUUCAAAUUGAAUCGAUCUACCGUAACGAUUUAUCUCAACUCUUUCUUAAACUUCGAGGAUCCUUCGCGCGCGUAGCGAUUUCGAUAUCUGUGAGAAUUCCAAACAAACUUGGAAAGCCUUCCAUAGCCAGGGAAAUAAUAUUAUUUGACAUGUGUGGAAUGCGAAGAAGACAAUUGUUCGCCCUGAACGAGAUCCGGGUUAUCGAUCGAAUACAAGAGAAUCGACGAACGGAACUCUUUCCAGAACUUCGCAGCGAACGCACAAGAUUCCGAAUCUCGUCUCGCUAUUCCGUACAUUUACGUAGAUUGUAACGUUUAUGGUAAGUAAGUAAUAAUUAUGACGGAAAAGCACCAUAGGCCACCUCGCCAGUUGCAUGACACGAAGUCGUCAAAGUCACCGUGGCACAGAAUCAAGAAAACAAUCGGCCCUCAACGAUAUCCGGGUUAUCGAUCAAACGCAAGAGGAUCAGGAGUUGUUCCCAGAACGUUGCAGCCAGAGCACGUGUGCCGAGUGGCUCUUUAUAUUAUACCAUACAUCGUGGGACAGAUAACUGGAAAUAAAUAAUUACGUAAAAAGAUCGGCAAGGAUGGCACGUCGGUAUGAAUCAGGCUUUAUACGCUAUGGUACAACGGGCAGAGCCUUGAGAGAGCACGCGGCCAACGAGAAAAAGAGAUUUGCAUGCACGCGGAGGCGUGGGUUUCUCGAACCGAGUUCUCUAUAGCCGCCAGCUUCUUCUUAAGUGGAUAAAUUCGAUGCAGUUUCCUUACGCUGGUAUUGGCAUUAGCGUCGGUCCACGGAGUACACCGGCUUGGAUUUGUAUCAUCGUAAAAGUGACGCAACCGGUGAAAGCCGGGACACCAGGAUUCCACGAGGUAAAGUUCAGCUCGAGCGUAUCAGUGUGGGAAUCAGGCGACUUUUCUACGCUUCAACUAUGAGAGGAACGCAUCGAUCAUUCGCUGCUUCGCGCUGUUGCAAGGUGUUCGAUGGAAAACAGAUGCAUGGGAAUCGGAUGCUCGAGACGUUACUUUAUGGUUUUUACUUUUAACGAGGAUUGUCUGCGAUUUGUUAGAAAGUUGACUCUGUAAUUAUGGUGUUCUGGAAACCUUAAUGAACUGGAUAUGUCAAGGUUCGUUUAUGAAAGGAGGCAAUUUACGUACUUAAAAGCGACUGGUAUUUAUUUUGUAAAAAGAUUCAAUCGACACGUGAAUUUAGCGCGGAGAAGAAAAUUAAAACUCGUAUCAGACGUCUGUAAUAUUUUUUCUUUUAUCACACCCUGUUAAUUUACUCACUGAGAACCGAAUUAUUGUAUUAAAUACCCUAGGAAUAAUAAGGGUAAACGAAAUACGAGCAAUUGCGUUAUAUCGCUUGUGUUGUGCUAUUAUUGUUGCUAGCUGUUUUAUUAGUCGUCGCGUCAAACAUCUUUUAUGAUCAUUAGCGAACGCGAUUGACAAAUUACGUAACAAGAAGAUAAAAAAAAUUGAAGUACGAAGUAGAAUAAAUUAUGUUAUGCAAACUUUAGUAAUAGUAACUUAAAUAAUUUCUAUCAUAUAUCAUAAACGGUACAAUUACAGUACAAUUAAUUUAAAUUAAAAUUAAUAUGAUACAGCGUAUGUGUGAACCAAGUGGAUAGCCUACAUCGUACUUGGUGAUACAAACUAACAUCUUUGAGAAAUAUGAAGAUUUUCGCAGGAAACGUUACUACAAUUAACAGAAUAUUUGACAGACAGAAUACAGUUUCAGCGAUUGCACUUGCUCGGCUGCUUUUUAAUUAUAAGACGAGAGCGUGUCAGUUUAGCGUGUCGAAUCCUAAAUCUGGCAAGAACAACUUGCUCUUUCCCACUAAAAGAGGUACUGGACUUUUGCCAAAUAUAUUUUACAUUACAUUGUAGCGUAUUAUAUUUCUCUUUCAUAUUUUUGCUUGAAAUUCCCUUUCUAUUAAACUACGAAUAGACCGAUAUCGUAAAGACGAUCGAUAAGGAUAAAUAGUACCAUGAUAAAUAAAAAUAACAAUAUAAUAAAACGCGUACGAGUAUCUCGUAAACAUCCUACAGUUGUAUCAAUCUAAUUCGUUAAUAAAUAUCGUGACGAAUCGAAGCUACGUUGCUGGUAAACACGUCCAUCAAAUUUCCUUCCUCGACAGCUACCCGAUUCGUAACUUCUAUUUUUACCCGCCACUAAAUCAUCCUGUGCAACCAAGAAGGAGAACGAUCGUCGAAUAUCGUGAUCGUUCAACGGAAUACGAUUUAGGAAAAAAGACCGAUGGAAGGUUAACGCUUAAAUACUGCGGUUCUCCAAGGAUCCGAGUGCAACGAACGUGCAUAGAAUUGCCAUCUUCCGUCUCUGUCUUCACAAAGAUAUAAAAUUAACGAGUGGGCAGAAGGAAACGGAUUUUGGUGAUAAAUUCUAUGGAAAGAAGAAGAAGAAGAAGAAGAAGAAAAAAGAGAGAGACAGAUCGAAAGUACACGAUUUAGAGAAAAGACGAGGGAAGGUUAAGUCUAAAAUACUUCGCUUCUUCGGCCAUUCAAAUGUAGUGGACGUGCGUAGAAUUUCGCGUGAACGGUUGUUAACGAGUGGA